UACGAAGGGAGCGAGCGUUGUUCGGAAUCACUGGGCUUAAAGCGUGCGUAGGCGGAUUGGUAAGUAAGAAGUGAAAUCCCAGGGCUUAACCCUGGAACUGCUUUUUAGACUGCCUGUCUGGAAUUCGGUAGAGGUUGGUGGAACUCCUAGUGUAGAGGUGAAAUUCGUAGAUAUUGGGAAGAACACCGGUGGCGAAGGCGGCGACCUGGUCCUUGACUGACGCUGAGGCGCGAAAGCGUGGGGAGCAAACAGG
rnacentral:rRNA from 1 species